AUGUGGUUAAUUCGACGCAACGCGCAGAACCUUACUGGUCUUGACAUCCCGGGAAUCUGUGGAAACACGAGAGUGCCUCGCAAGAGGAGCCUGGAGACGGGUGCUGCAUGGCUGUCGUCAGCUCGUGUCGUGAGAUGUUGGGUUAAGUCCCGCAACGAGCGCAACCCUCGUCGCUAGUUACAUGUGUCUAGCGAGACUGCCAGGUUAACCUGGAGGAAGGUGGGAUGACGUCAAGUCAGCAUGGCCUUUAUGUCCAGGGCUACACACACGCUACAAUGGGUCGGUACAAUGGGAUGCCAAGCCGCGAGGCGGAGCAAAUCCUCAAAGCCGGCCUCAGUUCGGAUUGGAGGCUGCAACUCGCCUCCAUGAAGUCGGAGUUGCUAGUAACCGCAGGUCAGCUAUACUGCGGUGAAUACGUUCCCGGGGAUU
rnacentral:rRNA from 1 species